GCGGCCUAUCAGCUUGUUGGUGAGGUAACGGCUCACCAAGGCCAAGACGGGUAGCCGACCUGAGAGGGUCGUCGGCCGCACUGGCACUGAGACACUGGCCAGACUCCUACGGGAGGCAGCAGAGGGGAAUCAUCCGCAAUGGGCGAAAGCCUGACGGUGCGACGCCGCGUGGGGGAUGAAGGCCUUCGGGUUGUAAACCCCUGUCAGGAGCUAGGAAUGGCGGGGGCGUGAAUAGCGCCUCCGCGUGACUGGGCUCCAAAGGAAGCUCCGGCUAACUACGUGCCAGCAGCCGCGGUAAUACGUAGGGAGCAAGCGUUACUCGGAAUCACUGGGCGUAAAGGGGGUGUAGGCGGGCGCGCAAGUCCGAUGUGUAAGCCCUCGGCUCAACCGGGGAGUUGCGUCGGAAACUGCGCGUCUUGAGUGCGGGAGAGGAGAGUGGAACUCCUGGUGGAGCGGUGAUAUGCGUAGAUAUCAGGAGGAACGCCGGUGGCGAAAGCGGCUCUCUGGUCCGCAACUGACGCUGAGGCCCGAAAGCUAGGGGAGCGAACGGGAUUAGAUACCCCGGUAGUCCUAGCCCUAAACGAUGGGCACUGAGUGGGGGCGGUUCUGAUGCCGUCCCUGCUGCAGCCAACGUGGUGAGUGCCCCGCCUGGGGAGUAC
rnacentral:rRNA from 1 species